AUACGUAGGUGGCAAGCGUUAUCCGGGAUUAUUGGGCGUAAAGAGUGAGCAGGCGGUUAAUUAAGUCUGAGGUUAAAGCGUGGGGCUCAACCCCAUAAAGCCUUGGAAACUGAUUGACUAGAGUACGGGAGAAGUGAAGGGAACUCCAUGUGUAGCGGUGAAAUGCGUAGAUAUAUGGAAGAACACCAGUGGCGAAGGCGCUUCACUAGCCCGAAACUGACGCUCAGUCACGAAAGCGUGGGUAGCAAAUAGGAUUAGAUACCCUAGUAGUCCACGCUGUAAACGAUGACAACUAAAUAUUGCCGCGAGGCAGUGUUGAAGCUAACGCAUUAAGUUGUCCGCCUGGGGAGUACGGUCGCAAGACUGAAACUUAAAGGAAUUGACGGGG
rnacentral:rRNA from 1 species